GACGAACGCUGGCGGCGUGCUUAACACAUGCAAGUCGAGCGGUAAGGCCCUUUCGGGGGUACACGAGCGGCGAACGGGUGAGUAACACGUGGGUGACCCGCCCUCAGCUCUGGGAUAAGCCUGGGAAACCGGGUCUAAUACCGGAUAUGACUCCAUGACGCAUGUUGUGGGGUGGAAAGCCUUGUGCGGCUGAGGAUGGGCCCGCGGCCUAUCAGCUUGUUGGUGGGGUGAUGGCCACCAAGGCGACGACGGGUAGCCGGCCUGAGAGGGCGACCGGCCACACUGGGACUGAGACACGGCCCAGACUCCUACGGGAGGCAGCAGUGGGGAAUCUUGCGCAAUGGGCGAAAGCCUGACGCAGCGACGCCGCGUGAGGGAUGACGGCCU
rnacentral:rRNA from 1 species